GGCCGGACUAUGGCGAUAAAGGCGCCUGUAAUAAGCGGACCGGACCCGGGUGCGAUUCCCGGCGGCUCCACCA
rnacentral:tRNA from 1 species